rnacentral:lncRNA from 1 species
UUUUUUUAAUGCAUCAGCCAACUUCCACUUCCCGCAAUACCUUCCCACAGGUAACAUAGCGUCCCAGUACCAAAAAACGGAAUGUCACAUUGACAUGGAAAAAGUAUCGUAGCCUGCAAGAUGAAAAUAAAGAAAAGUUUGGAUGAACAUACGAAAGAGGAAAUAAAGUAAAUGCAUUUGAAAGAGGAAACACAGUAAAUGCCAUUAUUCAUUUUUGCAAUUUCAAAACCUUUCUGUUUUCUGGUUUGUGGUGUGCUAUUGGUUUUUUUCGUUAUGCAAAUGAUUCUUCUUCUCUUUAGUCCGUAGACAAGAUUUAAAGAAAGUUUUCAUCAUAAAUUUGCAAAGGCCUUGGGUGUGUGUAUCAUCUGUGGAACAUUGAAACUCCGGGCAAGCAGACAAGAAUGGAGUAAGAAACUCAACCAAAUCAUCUACGAUAUUGGUACAGUAGCGUAACUGAGGCAGUGUCUUCUUAAAGAAGAAUCACUACCCAAGUGCUUUAUUAGUCGGAGAUAUCUUGCUGAACUCGUUGGCCUAACAAUGCGGGUAUAACAGUCAAUGCAGAAAUUAUCAAGCUUUCCGAAUUUGUGGAUUGCAAAUUGCAAGGACAUACACUAAGGUAAGUGAAUCCCUUGUGAGAGGCAUAUUUGCUAAGGUUACAUUCAAAGAAUUGUUUAAGUAAAUUGAUAAUUAUUGUAAAUUAAUCAAAUCUUUUACAUGGGUCUCGAGUAAGUUCUUGUAGUAGUUGAAGAUGGACCGGAUCAGUUUUUUCAAGAACGGUUUUUCCUCUAUGUUUACUUAAUAUUGGAUUCCUAACUGUUGUAAUCAAUGGAGAAUUUUGCCUCAAUACCACUUCUGUCAGUAAUGGUGUGUUCGACGACAUCGAAGUAAGUGAUAGUUGUGUUCUAGAAAUCUUUUCAAUUGCACUCAGGCAAUGGGCGAAUGAUGGAUGGUCGGUACUGCCACAAUAGUGUCGGACAGAACCGUGGAACCGUUCAAUGUUGUCGGUAGAAAAACGACGUGUUAAAACAAAUUUUAAUCCGCUUUUCAAAAGGUAACGAAUGCAGUUGGCUGUAGAGCGACUGGUUAAUAUAAAUGGUUCUUGAGUUUGUUUUGUUAGACAUUCAUGGUCAUUUUUUUUCUUGAUUCUAUUUCUUUAUUUCACUGGGAAACAUUUCG